rnacentral:lncRNA from 1 species
CAAAGUAACAGGCACGGUGAUUGGAGGAGAGCUGAGGCAGCUGUUGUCGCGGCAACCGUGCGUCCGCAUUCCCGGUGCUGCCGAGGGCCGGGGAUGCAGCGGCCGGAACGGGCGGGUACCGGCAGCCCCGGCUUCUCUUAAUGCAGACAGCAAAUGACUGACCUGGGCCAGCUCUGGAGCCUCGUUCAGAGCUGUGACUGAGCUUAGAAACAAAAUCGCGGCUCUGCCCCGAGUCGCGACACUGGAUUCUGUGACCGAAUUCCAGCUCAGUGAUGCUGUGGAGCACGAGGUACCUCAAGCAGAACGGCAGCACUCGGUGCCACGUCCCGAAAAUAACCAGCACUUAGCAGAGUCUCAAGACUUCUCCAGUCCUUAUAAACACCACAGGAAAGUGAUCUCAAACUGGGAAAUAAAAAAAAAAAAAAAAAAAAGUCUGGGGGGGGGGGGGGGGGGGGGGGGGGGGGGGGGGGGGGGGGGGGGGGGGGGGGGGGGGGGGGGGGGGGGGGGGGGGGGGGGGGGGG